rnacentral:piRNA from 1 species
UGAUAACAGCGUUGCCACUACAGAUU